rnacentral:rRNA from 1 species
GAUGAACGCUGGCGGCGUGCCUAACAUAUGCAAGUCGAGCGAUUCUCUUCGGAGAAGAGCGGCGGACGGGUGAGUAACGCGUGGGUAACCUGCCCUGUACACACGGAUAACAUACCGAAAGGUAUGCUAAUACGAGAUAAUAUGCUUUUAUCGCAUGGUAGAAGUAUCAAAGCUCCGGCGGUACAGGAUGGACCCGCGUCUGAUUAGCUAGUUGGUAAGGUAACGGCUUACCAAGGCGACGAUCAGUAGCCGGCCUGAGAGGGUGAUCGGCCACAUUGGAACUGAGACACGGUCCAAACUACUACGGGAGGCAGCAGUGGGGAAUAUUGCACAAUGGGCGAAAGCCUGAUGCAGCAACGCCGCGUGAGCGAUGAAGGCCUUCGGGUCGUAAAGCUCUGUCCUCAAGGAAGAUAAUGACGGUACUUGAGGAGGAAGCCCCGGCUAACUACGUGCCAGCCGCCGCGGUAA